UUUAGUAUGAACAUUAAGAAUAUGUUUAAGAUACCUGUGAAAACAUUCAAUAUAUUGUUGCAAUAUUGGUGGAAACAUUCAGUAUAAUUUCGAUUAGUUUUGUUUUGUUUUUUGUGAAUGUUUAAGGUUUUGAUGGAAACAUUCAGUGUAAUGAUUAAAAGUUUUCCUGGAAAUUAAGUAUUUUAUUUCAAAAUUUUGGGAACACAUUCAGUUCAAUGUACCAUUGUUUUUGUGCAAACAUUCAGUAUAAUGUUUUAAAGUUUUUGAAGAUACAUUCAGUAUGCUUCAUUGUCUUUGUGACAACAUUCAUUGUAAAUAAUAUUUCAAAGUUUUUGUCUUAAACAUUCAGUAUAAUGUUUCAAAGUUUGUGUCGAAACGUUCAUUAUGAUAUUUCAAGUUUUGUGGAAACAUUAAGUAUAAUGUUUCAAGUUUUUGUGGAAACAUUCAGUAUAAUGUUUCAAGUUUUUUUUGUGUAAGCAUUUAGUUUAAUGUUUCAAGAUUUUGUGGAGGCAUUCAGUAUAAAGUUUCAAAGUUGAUGUUAAAACAUUCAGUUUAUUGUGUCAAGUUUGUUUUGGAAACAUUCAGUAUAAUGUUUCGAGUUUUUGUGGAAACAUUCAGUAUAAUGUUUUUUGGUUUUUUGUGGAAAAAUUCAGUAUAUUGUUUCAAAUGUAAUGUGUAAGCAUUCAGUAUAAAGUUUCAAGUUUGUUUUGGAAACAUUUAAUAGAAUGUUUCAAAGUUUUUGUGAAAAAUAUUCAGUAUCAUGUUUCAUAGUCAUGUAUUAGUGUUUGUGGAAACAUUCAGUACAAUGUGUCAAAGUUUAUGUUUAAACAGUCAGUAUAAUGUUUAAAUUCUGUUUUGGAAACAUUCAGUACAAUGUGUCAAAGUUUAUGUUGAAACAGUUAGUAUAAUGUUUGAAUUCUGUUGGAAACAUUCAGUAUAAUGUUUCAAGUUUUUAUGGAAACAUUCAGUAUAAUGUUUCGAAGGUUUUUUGGAAAACAUUCAGUAUAACGUUUCAAAGGUUUUGUGGAAACAUUCAGUAUAAGGUUUCAAGUCUUUGUUUAAACAUUCAAUAUAAUGUUUCAAAGUUUUGUGGAAGCAUUCAGUAUAAUGUUUCAAGUUUUGAUGGAAACAUGCAGUUUGAUGUUUCAAAGUUUUUGUGGAAACAUUCAAUAUAAUGUUUCAAAGGUUUUGUGAAAACAUUCAGUAUAAUGUUUCAAAUGUUUUAUGGAAACAUUCUGUAUAAUGUUUCAAAGGUUUUGUGGAAGCAUUAAGUAUAAUGUUUCAAGUUUUGAUGGAAACAUGCAGUUUGAUGCUUCAAAAUUUAUUGUGGAAACAUUCAGUAUAAUGUUUCAAAAGUUUUUUGAAAACAUUCAGUAUAAUGUUUCAAAUGUUUUAUGGAAACAUUCUGUAUAAUGUUUCAAAAUUUUUGUGGAAACAUUCAGUAUAAUGUUUCAAAGGUUUUGUGGAAACAUUCAGUAUAAUGUUUCAAGUCUUUGAGGAAACAUUCAGUAUAAUGUUUCAAAGGUUUGUGGAAACAUUCAGUAUAAUGUUUCAUAGUGUUUGUGGAAGCAUUCGGUAUAAUAUUUAAAGCUUGUUUCAGAAACAUACAGUAUAAUGUUUCAAACUUUUUAUGGAAACAUUCAGUAUAAUGUUUCAAAGGUUUUGUGGAAACAUUCAGUAUAAUGUUUCAUAGUCACGUAUUAGUGUUUGUGGAAACAUUCAGUAUAAUGUUUCAUAGUUUGGUAUAAUGUUUAAAGUUUGUUGUAAAAACAUGCAGUAUAAUGUUUCAAAUUUUUUAUGGAAAAAUUUAGUGAAUGUUUCAAUGGUUUUGUGGAAACAUUCAGUAUAUAGUUUCAAAAGGAUUUUGGAAAUAUUCAGUAUAAUAUUCAUAGUGUUUGUGGAAACAUUUAGUAUAAUGUUAAUCAUAUCAGUAGAAACAUUUUGUUUCAUAUUUCAAUUUGAUGAGGAAAGAACUUUCAGUAUUAUGAGAAACUUAAAUAGAUAUUUCAAUAAUUCUUUUCAUGCUGUACAUGUAGCAUGUCAUCAAGACUGUUCUGAAAAGCUCAAUGUAAAUUGUUUCUCAUUUUGUUUGGGUUCCAGUAUCUAAAUAUUCGUAGGCUUUAGUAGUGCAUUACACUCAUACACUAUUUACCAUGGUAUUCUGUUACUUGUAGCAGUACAUCGAUGCCAAGGGCCAACCUGAACUAUAAAGGGAUCAACACCUAACCUCAGUACCAACCAAGGCACAUAAUGGAGAGGCAAUGUACCCUACAAAUUUCAGAUGGCGGAAAUUGUGCAUUAUUGGAACGUCAUCCCAGCUGCAAAAUUGUUCAACAAAAAUCCUAAAGGAACAAAUGCCCCCAAUGACCUAAUCACAGUGUCAUGGAAAAUCUUGGUCCCAAAAAUAAAAAUGCUGAAACAGUGCUCUCAAAUGGAACCUAAAUGCGGAUAUAUGAUCAAGCGAUCAACAAGGUCAUUCAAGAAAUUUAGACCCUGUUGUUUGUGGAAUAAAGACAAGGGAAGUCACGUUUAUUAUAUACAUGUACCAAUUCUGCGAGUUCAAGAAACCGCGACUGUGUCAGACGAGGAGAAAACGUGAAAAUUAAAACCGUGAAAUUAAUCCCCUAUACAGUAUUCUGGACAUGAUGUCAGCUUCAUAGUAAACUGUUGGAAAAUGAUGCCACCAAAGAUUGAAACCCACACCAUCAGGAAGGGCAAGCUACACACUUAAAAUGCUCAAGCUCCUCUUAUGGAUUCUAUGUUGAUAUCUGUGUUGAAUGGCAAAUAUCAUUUUCUCCAACAUGUACUGCCAAGGAACAUCAUAUAUAGAGUAGUCAGCACCUGUCAUUCAUCUAAUGUGUAAAUAAGAUUUGGCAAUGUAUUAGCUUCUUAUGUAACAUUAAUUGUUCUAUCAUUAAUUUUGUAAAUCUGGUCAUUAGUCCAGUAAAGUGUUUAUCAAAUAUUCCACAAUGUAUAUCCUCUAUAGUCAUCAACUCUGUAUAACUCAGCUCAAUUUUAAUGUCUUCAUAAUCGGCAAUGUAUUAGCUUCUUAUGUAACAUUAAUUGUUCUAUCAUUAAUUUUGUAAAUCUGGUCAUUAGUCCAGUAAAGUGUUUAUCAAAUAUUCCACAAUGUACAUCCUCUAUAGUCAUCAACUCUAUAUAACUCAGCUCAGUUUUAAUGUCUUCAUAAUCGGCUUACUAAUAUCAAUGAGUUCAGCAUUGAAACUUGCCUGCAUAGUCUUUGAGCUACAUGUAAGAUGACGGCUACUCAUUUAAAUUGUAUGUUGAAAUCUGCCCGCAUAGACUUGAGUUAAGAUACAUAGUUCAGCAGAGAGCUGCUUAUGUAAAUUGUGCUUCAAAAUCUGCUUGCAUAGUCUUGAGUUAAGAUACAUUAGUUCAGCGGAUAGCUGCUCAUGUGAAUUGUGCUGCAAACUCUGCUUGCAUAGUCUUGAGUUAAGACACAUGAGUUCAGAGGAUAGCUCCUCAUGUAAAUUGUUUGUUACAAUCUGCUUGCAUAGUCGAGAGUUAAGAUACAUGACUUCAGCGGAUAGCUGCUCAUGUAAAUUGUAUAAUAAAAUCUGGCUUGCAUAGUCUUGAGUUAAGAUACAUGGCUUCAGCGCAUUGCUGCUCAUGUAAAUUGUGUGUUAAAAUCUGCUUGCAUAGUCUUAGCUCAAGAUACAUGAAUUCAGCGGUUAGCUGCUCAUGUAAAUUGUAUGUUAAAAACUCUGCCUGCAUUGUCUUGAGGUUAGAUUAAGACCUACCUAAUUUUACAUAUAUACUAAACAUUCCUUGCAGUGAUUUUGGCUUCUCUUGAUCCACAAUUGAACAGCUAACAGGUGAAUGUUAAUGUCUUUGUUGCAUCAGUACUUGUUAUUUGUCAAGAACACCUAGUCUAAAAUGUAUGUGAUAUCAUAUGAACUUCAACUUCAAUGUUGUUUUAUAUAUUUUUAAAAAAAAAAUACUUCAAAAAAUGCUGUAAAUUUCAGUAUUUUUACUAUUUUUAUAAAAAUGUUUUCUUUUGAUUUUUCUCCUUGUUUGGCGUCAACCCCUCACUGAUUGAGGGCUUGUGGCGCAAUUGUUUGGACGCCUCCAAGGAUUUACUCAUUUAUGUUAUAUUUUAUGCAUAUUUACAUGUACUCUGAUAUGUUCACUGCAUGUAAAUUUCUAGUCAGUCUCAGGGGGAUCACACUUGUACCUUUCACCUGUGUACAUGUAACCUGUAUUGUUUAAUAUUAGAUGAUCCCCCUUAAUGAUUUGUUAUACAUUUUACGAUAUGUCAUUGAAUAAAAUGACAUAUUCGACAAAACUGCAUAUCUGUAUUUGGUUGUUUUUCACUGCACUUUCAGGCUGAUAUUUCUUAUAGGAGGCAUAAAACAAUAUUAUCACAGAUAAUUCAAUUUAUGCCGCUUUGAGAAAUAUAUUAUAUUUUACACCUAAGGAUAAUUCUGCAUAUCCCUGCGCAGUCUGCAGGAUAUGCGCCCUUAUCGCAGCGCAAUUAUCAUAGAACCUUUCAUUGCGAAAUCGCACCUUAUUUUGCUUGACAGAGUUAUCCAAUCAAAAUCCUUGAUUUUGUUGCGCCAUUUUUGUUAGCCUGGCAGUGCAUUGAAGAAAAAAACCCACCACCCACCCUUUUUGGGGUUUUUGGUUUUAUAUUAUUUUGCAUUUUAGUCCAGAUUUGUAUUUUUCUAACUAACUUGUCAUAUGUUUCUUGAUUGGCUCAAUUGUUUGAAAGCCCCCAAAGAUUUAAUCAUUUAUGUUAUAUUUUAUGCAUAUUUACAUGUACUCUGAUAUGUUCACUGCAUGUAAAUUUCUAGUCAGUCUCAGGGGGAUCACACUUGUACCUUUCACCUGUGUACAUGUAACCUGUAUUGUUUAAUAUUAGAUGAUCCCCCUUAAUGAUUUGUUAUACAUUUUACUAUAUGUCAUUGAAUAAAAUGACAUAUUCGACAAAACUGCA